UCAAGAUCGUCAAAUUUCAAGUCAACCACCAUCUUCGAACCAACCGUUACCGCCUUCAGAUGUGUAGUGCAGUUAAAGUGGCUAUAUUAAGUGAAAUUCAAAGAAAAGUUGCUACGUUUCACUUAAUACUAUAUCCCAUGUACAAAUUCCAAAACCUUGACACCAACAGUUAUAUGUUAACAUACACGAAGAACGAUUAAGUAGAAUGUAAGUGAACGAACAUAACAUGUAACAAAACAAAUAACAUUCCCCUAAUUACAGUAUCCCCAGAAGAAGACUCGAUUCUGAGUCGAAACGUCGGGAAAAA